rnacentral:rRNA from 1 species
UCUUAAUUAGGGAAUAGUAUGAAUGGUAUAACGAAUAAAAUUGGGUUUUAAAUUUAAUAGUUUAAAUUAAUAUAUAAGUUMAAAAUCUUMUUUAGAGUUUAGGGACAAGAAGACCCUAUUAAAGUUUAAUUUUAAAUUUUUAUUAUAUAACAGAGAUAAAUUUUAUUGGGGCAAUACUAUAAGAUAAGAUUUUAUAGAUUAUAAUUUUUAAAUAAGGAAUGAGAUGUAUUAUUAAUAGUUAUUAGACUAAAUUACUUUAGGGMYAACAGCACAAUUAAAGYUUAAAAGUYCAUAUUUACAAUUUUGAUUAUGACCUCGAUGU